CAGGCUGGUCAGAGGGUCGCGGAACGCAUUGCGUUUCGAGGAAAGUCCGCACUCCACAGGGCACGGUGCCGGGUAACACCCGGAGCGGGGACUCCUUCGGGAGGAACCCACUGGAUCGGGCCACAGAAAGACACCACCCGCAAGGGUAAGGGUGAAAUGGCGGUGUAAGAGACCACCGGCGCCGCAGUAAUGCGGCGGCCAGGCAACCCCCACCAGGAGCAAGGCCAAGCAGGGACGAUGUCCGCCUUCGAGCGGCAGGAAGCUGCCCGCUUCUUCAUUAGUCCCGGGUAGGCUGCACGAGCUGGAUGGCAACAUCCAGCCUAGAGAGAUGACCUUCCCUUCAGGAGCCGUGCGAAAGCAUACCCUCUUGAUCGACAGAAUGCGGCUUAUCGACCAGCCUGACGU
rnacentral:RNase_P_RNA from 1 species